rnacentral:rRNA from 1 species
GACGAACGCUGGCGGCGUGCCUAAUACAUGCAAGUAGAACGCUGAAGAGAGGAGCUUGCUCUUCUUGGAUGAGUUGCGAACGGGUGAGUAACGCGUAGGUAACCUGCCUGGUAGCGGGGGAUAACUAUUGGAAACGAUAGCUAAUACCGCAUAAUAGUAGAUGUUGCAUGACAUUUGCUUAAAAGGUGCAAUUGCAUCACUACCAGAUGGACCUGCGUUGUAUUAGCUAGUUGGUGAGGUAACGGCUCACCAAGGCAACGAUACAUAGCCGACCUGAGAGGGUGAUCGGCCACACUGGGACUGAGACACGGCCCAGACUCCUACGGGAGGCAGCAGUAGGGAAUCUUCGGCAAUGGACGGAAGUCUGACCGAGCAACGCCGCGUGAGUGAAGAAGGUUUUCGGAUCGUAAAGCUCUGUUGUAAGAGAAGAACGAGUGUGAGAGUGGAAAGUUCACACUGCGACGGUAUCUUACCAGAAAGGGACGGCUAACUACGUG